rnacentral:rRNA from 1 species
UACGUAGGGUGCAAGCGUUAAUCGGAAUUACUGGGCGUAAAGCGUGCGCAGGCGGUUUUGUAAGUCUGUCGUGAAAUCCCCGGGCUCAACCUGGGAAUUGCGAUGGAGACUGCAAGGCUAGAAUCUGGCAGAGGGGGGUAGAAUUCCACGUGUAGCAGUGAAAUGCGUAGAGAUGUGGAGGAACACCGAUGGCGAAGGCAGCCCCCUGGGUCAAGAUUGACGCUCAUGCACGAAAGGCGUGGGGACAAACAGG